GACGAACGCUGGCGGCGUGCUUAACACAUGCAAGUCGUACGGUAAGGCCCUUUCGGGGGUACACGAGUGGCGAACGGGUGAGUAACACGUGAGUAACCUGCCCACAACUUUGGGAUAACGCUAGGAAACUGGUGCUAAUACUGGAUAUGUGCUCCUGCUGCAUGGUGGGGGUUGGAAAGCUCCGGCGGUUGUGGAUGGACUCGCGGCCUAUCAGCUUGUUGGUGGGGUAGUGGCCUACCAAGGCGGCGACGGGUAGCCGGCCUGAGAGGGUGACCGGCCACAUCGGGACUGAGAUACGGCCCAGACUCCUACGGGAGGCAGCAGUGGGGAAUAUUGCACAAUGGGCGCAAGCCUGAUGCAGCAACGCCGCGUGCGGGAUGACGGCCUUCGGGUUGUAAACCGCUUUCAGCAGGGACGAAGCUUUUUGUGACGGUACCUGCAGAAGAAGCACCGGCUAACUACGUG
rnacentral:rRNA from 1 species